rnacentral:rRNA from 1 species
AUUGAACGCUGGCGGCAGGCCUAACACAUGCAAGUCGAACGAGUGGCGGACGGGUGCGUAAUGUCUGGGAAACUGCCCGAUGGAGGGGGAUAACUACUGGAAACAGUAGCUAAUACCGCAUACCAUCGGAUGUGCCCAGAUGGGAUUGUCUUGUUGGUGGGGUAACGGCUCACCAAGGCGACGAUCCCUAGCUGGUCUGAGAGGAUGACAAGCCAAACUGGAACUGAGACACGGUCCAGACUCCGACGGAAGGCAGCAGUGGGGAAUAUUGCACAAUGGGCGCAAGCCUGAUGCAGCCAUGCCGCGUGUAUGAAGAAGGCCUUCGGGUUGUAAAGUACUUUCAGCGAGGAGGCGUUACUCGCAGAAGAAGCACCGGCUAACUCCGUGCCAGCAGCCGCGGUAAUAC